GAUGGAUCGUGAGGCGGCGGCCAUGCAGCGGCGCAGCCAGUCCGAGGGGCCGGUCAAACGAAACCCACUCUUUCAGUCAGAAUACAGAGUGCAGUUUGCAUCAAGUAGGCGGGGCAGGGAUAGAGCUGAGGACAAUGAUAUACGCCCACAGGAGUCCAGGCCUCAAGUUAGCUUCCCACCUCCUGCU